rnacentral:rRNA from 1 species
GGACGAACGCUGGCGGCGUGCCUAACACAUGCAAGUCGAACGGAGCACUUCGGUGCUUAGUGGCGAACGGGUGAGUAACGCGUGAGCAACCUGCCUUCCAGUGGGGGACAACAGUUGGAAACGACUGCUAAUACCGCAUAAUGUAGCGAGACCGCAUGAUCUUGCUACCAAAGCUUUAUGUGCUGGAAGAUGGCCUCGCGUCUGAUUAGAUAGUUGGUGAGGUAACGGCUCACCAAGUCGACGAUCAGUAGCCGGUCUGAGAGGAUGAACGGCCACAUUGGGACUGAGAUACGGCCCAGACUCCUACGGGAGGCAGCAGGUGGGGAAUAUUGGGCAAUGGGGGAAACCCUGACCCAGCAACGCCGCGUGAAGGAAGAAGGCCUUCGGGUUGUAAACUUCUUUUAGCAGGGACGAAGAACGUGACGGUACCUGCAGAAAAAGCAACGGCUAACUACGUG